AGGUGAUUAUAGCAAUGGGGCUCACCUCUUACCAUUCCGAACAGAGAAGUUAAGCCCAUUAGCGCCGAUGGUACUACAUUGUGGGAGAGUAGGUCGUCGCCUUUUU
rnacentral:rRNA from 2 species